AUUGAACGCUGGCGGCAUGCUUUACACAUGCAAGUCGAACGGCAGCGCGGGCUUCGGCCUGGCGGCGAGUGGCGAACGGGUGAGUAAUGCAUCGGAACGUGCCCAGUAGUGGGGGAUAGCCCGGCGAAAGCCGGAUUAAUACCGCAUACGACCUGCGGGUGAAAGCGGGGGACCGAAAGGCCUCGCGCCAUUGGAGCGGCCGAUGUCGGAUUAGCUAGUUGGUGGGGUAAAGGCUUACCAAGGCGACGAUCCGUAGCUGGUCUGAGAGGACGACCAGCCACACUGGGACUGAGACACGGCCCAGACUCCUACGGGAGGCAGCAGUGGGGAAUUUUGGACAAUGGGGGCAACCCUGAUCCAGCCAUGCCGCGUGCGGGAAGAAGGCCUUCGGGUUGUAAACCGCUUUUGUUCGGGAAGAAAUCCUCUGGGCUAAUACCCCGGGGGGAUGACGGUACCGGAAGAAUAAGCACCGGCUAACUACGUG
rnacentral:rRNA from 1 species